UUUCCCACACACAACGAGUCAGAGCCUGAACAAAUCCUUCCUUGUCACAGGAAUUUCCUGGUUUUCCUGUUUCCUGGUAUCCGGUUAUGUUCUGACCAAAACUCAUGGUCAGCAGAUUCUGCUUGUUUUUUUUAGUCUGGUUAGUGCUCAGUGUGUAGUGACUGUACUGUCUGCUGGCCCAAAUGAACAGUCACACAAGGAUUUACACUAUUAUGUGUGGGAUAUUUGUUGUUUUUUGUUGUAUUUUUUUUGGAUGGAGUCUCCAGUUUCACCAUCAGAAACACUUUCUCUAGGACACACGAGUUUGUGUUAAUGGUUUAUACGUUCUGGUUACUUCGUAGCACGACAAGCGGUGAUAUUUAUCUAUUCGACCAUGAGUUUAUCCCAGGGGACUCAGGGUAUGAAGCAAGGGACACUCUGGAUGGGACAACAAUCUGUCACAGGGCACAAUAACACAUACAGGACAAUUUAAAGAUUUGUCAGAUUUGUACAACUCAUGCUUUUUUGGCUGAAGAGGAAACAAGAGAACCCAGACGAAACCCCUGAAGAACACAGGGCAGAAAUAGGAAUCGAACCACAAACCUGGAGGUGAGAGGAGAUUUCUGUAGAUGGUUCCUGAGCGUUUCCUGUUUUCCUGUGGAGCAGAUGACACAGACUUUCUCGGUGUUUACGCUGAACAUCCACACCGACGCCACGCCUGAAACACCAUCAGAAAAGAUCACCUUUAACUUUCACUUUCAAAUUUCAGACACCUUAAGAUGCUUUACAUCCCAUAAUAAAAGACUGUAUUCACUAGAUGUUUGAGGUAUGGAAUAAACA